rnacentral:lncRNA from 1 species
CAGAAGUAGAUGUUUUAUUCAUUUCAACAUUCAACUUGAACAUGCCAUCACAUGCAUACCCAUUUUCCACAAAAAUAUUAUUUUUCACAAUUACAUACUGAUCAUAUUUAAUAAUCUAUUUGAAGCCUGCUUUAUUAAGAAGAAAACUAGACAUCAAUUUUUUUCUCAUGGAAGGAGUAUAAAGUACAUCUUUUAAUAUUAAUAUCCUUCCAGAAGUGAAAAUCAACUCGACAUCUCUCAUUUCAAGCACUCGAGUUGUGUGUGAACCUCCAAGCAUAAUAGUUUUGGGCUCCUUAAAAUCAGUAUACUUUUUAAACCAGUCUUUGUCAUAACAGACAUGACGGUUUGCACCAGAGUCAUCUCACCUUCUAUCAACAUUAUCCACUAUGUUAAUGUAUGUUAUCAUUGCCACAAAUGUUUCUUCGGCAAGGUUUGCCUGAGGUUUAGGCCCACGUUUCUGAAAUUUACAAAAUCAAGCAAUAUGCCCACUCUUGCCACAGACAACGCAUAGUCCUUUUCUUGCACAUACUGAUUUUUUGCCUGGUUGUUUCCACCAUUAUUGUCAUUGGGAUGUCUACCAUCAUUUUUCUUGAAUUUUUUCUUCUUAGGCUUCAAAGUAGUAUUUUUGUUAGUUCCAGGGAUAGCAUUAUUUGAAAAAAUUAAAUUUACCUUUGGUGUUAUAUUGUUUUCUUCUAUUUGCAAAAGUGUAUCUUGGCCCCUUGCUACUUCCUCCAUGUGGAUUCUCAGUGUUUUAAAAUUUCUUCCAUGAAGGUGAAAGUUUAUCAAUUAUGCCACAAAUAAUAAGGUUAUAUCUAAUUUUGACUUCUUCGGACUUGAGCUUGCCAACAAUCAUUAUGAAGUCUUGAGCUUGAUCUACCACUGAUUUGUUGUCCACCAUUUGGAAAUGAAAAGAUCUGCAAGCUACAUAUUUUUUCGUUCCCACCUCCUCAAUGUCAUACUUACUCUGCAAGGCUUUUCAAAUUUUCUUUGCACUAGAGUAAGUUCUAUCAUAAUAAUCAUAAAAUUAUCAGAUAGACAAUUAAGAAAAAAAUAUUGAUACUUGUAGGAGUCACCAUCAUACUUUUCAACUUUCUCUUGAAAAGAGAUAAUUUCAUUGUCGGUCAUGAAAGAGUUAUCUACUUUGUUUGGGUUCUUCUUAGUUAACACAUAAGAAACAUUGAGAAGACUUAAGUAGAAAAGCACUUUACCCUUCCACCUCUUGAAGUGAGUACCAUUGAAUCAGAAUGGCUUGUUGAGAUCUCCCAUCUUGACAUCCGCGGAUUUUUUCAGUUGUUGUCAUUGAAUCUCCUUAAAAUUGUUGGUGAAAUUAUAAUGAACUUACAACUGAAAAUUAAAAGUGAAGAAAAUAAAAAGAGUAUCUUCUUUUUCGACUGAGGCGCGGAUAUCUCGAUCUCUUUAAGAAGAUUCAAGUCCACUGCAGCAAAUGUUUCACGAGUCCAGCAGUAAUCUUCUUGACUUGUCCCCUCCAGGAUACAGCAACCUUUCUCACUAAGAAUAACUCUGGACAAGAGUUGAGUUCAAAGCUCCACAAAAAGAAUAUCCCCCUUCAACUAAUAAACUCUCUUUUUUACUAAUUUUUGUG